rnacentral:rRNA from 1 species
GUUAAGCGACUAAGCGUACACGGUGGAUGCCCUGGCAGUCAGAGGCGAUGAAGGACGUGCUAAUCUGCGAUAAGCGUCGGUAAGGUGAUAUGAACCGUUAUAACCGGCGAUUUCCGAAUGGGGAAACCCAGUGUGUUUCGACACACUAUCAUUAACUGAAUCCAUAGGUUAAUGAGGCGAACCGGGGGAACUGAAACAUCUAAGUACCCCGAGGAAAAGAAAUCAACCGAGAUUCCCCCAGUAGCGGCGAGCGAACGGGGAGCAGCCCAGAGCCUGAAUCAGUGUGUGUGUUAGUGGAAGCGUCUGGAAAGGCGCGCGAUACAGGGUGACAGCCCCGUACACAAAAAUGCACAUGCUGUGAGCUCGAUGAGUAGGGCGGGACACGUGGUAUCCUGUCUGAAUAUGGGGGGACCAUCCUCCAAGGCUAAAUACUCCUGACUGACCGAUAGUGAACCAGUACCGUGAGGGAAAGGCGAAAAGAACCCCGGCGAGGGGAGUGAAAAAGAACCUGAAACCGUGUACGUACAAGCAGUGGGAGCACGCUUAGGCGUGUGACUGCGUACCUUUUGUAUAAUGGGUCAGCGACUUAUAUUCUGUAGCAAGGUUAACCGAAUAGGGGAGCCGAAGGGAAACCGAGUCUUAACUGGGCGUUAAGUUGCAGGGUAUAGACCCGAAACCCGGUGAUCUAGCCAUGGGCAGGUUGAAGGUUGGGUAACACUAACUGGAGGACCGAACCGACUAAUGUUGAAAAAUUAGCGGAUGACUUGUGGCUGGGGGUGAAAGGCCAAUCAAACCGGGAGAUAGCUGGUUCUCCCCGAAAGCUAUUUAGGUAGCGCCUCGUGAAUUCAUCUCCGGGGGUAGAGCACUGUUUCGGCAAGGGGGUCAUCCCGACUUACCAACCCGAUGCAAACUGCGAAUACCGGAGAAUGUUAUCACGGGAGACACACGGCGGGUGCUAACGUCCGUCGUGAAGAGGGAAACAACCCAGACCGCCAGCUAAGGUCCCAAAGUCAUGGUUAAGUGGGAAACGAUGUGGGAAGGCCCAGACAGCCAGGAUGUUGGCUUAGAAGCAGCCAUCAUUUAAAGAAAGCGUAAUAGCUCACUGGUCGAGUCGGCCUGCGCGGAAGAUGUAACGGGGCUAAACCAUGCACCGAAGCUGCGGCAGCGACACUAUGUGUUGUUGGGUAGGGGAGCGUUCUGUAAGCCUG